AAAUUGAAGAGUUUGAUCAUGGCUCAGAUUGAACGCUGGCGGCAGGCCUAACACAUGCAAGUCGAACGGUAACAGGAAGCAGCUUGCUGCUUCGCUGACGAGUGGCGGACGGGUGAGUAAUGUCUGGGAAACUGCCUGAUGGAGGGGGAUAACUACUGGAAACGGUGGCUAAUACCGCAUAAUG
rnacentral:rRNA from 1 species